AGGACGAACGCUGGCGGCGUGCUUAACACAUGCAAGUCGAGCGGAAAGGCCCUUCGGGGUACUCGAGCGGCGAACGGGUGAGUAACACGUGAGUAAUCUGCCCCUAGCUCUGGGAUAGCUCCGGGAAACCGGGAUUAAUACCAGAUACGACCACUUUAGACAUCUUCUGUGGUGGAAAGAACUUCGGCUAGGGAUGAACUCGCGGCCUAUCAGCUUGUUGGUGAGGUAACGGCUCACCAAGGCGACGACGGGUAGCCGGCCUGAGAGGGCGACCGGCCACACUGGGACUGAGACACGGCCCAGACUCCUACGGGAGGCAGCAGUGGGGAAUAUUGCGCAAUGGGCGAAAGCCUGACGCAGCGACGCCGCGUGGGGGAUGAAGGCCUUCGGUUGUAAACCCCUUCAGCAGGGACGAAGCGAAAGUGACGGUACCUGCAGAAGAAGCGCCGGCUAACUACGUGCCAGCAGCCGC
rnacentral:rRNA from 1 species